rnacentral:rRNA from 1 species
GACGAACCGUGCGAACGUUGUUCGGAAUCGCUGGGCUUAAAGGGCGCGUAGGCGGGCGGGCAAGUCAGGGGUGAAAUCCCACGGCUCAACCGUGGAAGGGCCCUUGAUACUGCCCAUCUCGAGGGAGGUAGGGGCGUGCGGAACUUCCGGUGGAGCGGUGAAAUGCGUAGAUAUCGGAAGGAACACCGGUGGCGAAAGCGGCGCGCUGGACCUCUUCUGACGCUGAGGCGCGAAAGCCAGGGGAGCAAACGGG